CGGUCGAGUGCUGAACAGGCCGCCGUUUACAGGCGCACGCUAAUUUUUGGCGAUAAUUCCGCGUGUUUUACCGGGUACUGUUUUCAAAACGCGAAACGCGGUAAAACGGUAAUUUCGUACCGUCGCAAAUCUAUAGGCAUUUCGCAUUGUUACGCUGCGAUUUCAAGAGCGCUCCCCGAACCGGUAUGCGGAUGAAUGCGUAUUAAAGAUCACGCUGUACAUUACGCAUCACGCUAUACCGUACUAUACAGAUACUGCCACUACAGGAAUAACAGAACGGUUUAAAACGUAUGGGUUUC